AUUGAACGCUGGCGGCAGGCCUAACACAUGCAAGUCGAGCGGAUGAGUGGAGCUUGCUCCAUGAUUCAGCGGCGGACGGGUGAGUAAUGCCUAGGAAUCUGCCUGGUAGUGGGGGACAACGUUGCGAAAGGAACGCUAAUACCGCAUACGUCCUACGGGAGAACGUGGGGGAUCUUCGGACCUCACGCUAUCAGAUGAGCCUAGGUCGGAUUAGCUAGUUGGUGAGGUAAAGGCUCACCAAGGCGACGAUCCGUAACUGGUCUGAGAGGAUGAUCAGUCACACUGGAACUGAGACACGGUCCAGACUCCUACGGGAGGCAGCAGUGGGGAAUAUUGGACAAUGGGCGAAAGCCUGAUCCAGCCAUGCCGCGUGUGUGAAGAAGGUCUUCGGAUUGUAAAGCACUUUAAGUUGGGAGGAAGGGCAGUAAGUUAAUACCUUGCUGUUUUGACGUUACCAACAGAAUAAGCACCGGCUAACUUCGUGCCAGCAGCCGCCGUAAAAC
rnacentral:rRNA from 1 species